CAGUAGCCGCGGUAAGACGAACCGUGCUAACGUUAUUCGGAAUUACUGGGCUUAAAGCGCGUGUAGGCGGGCCGGCACGUCGGACGCUGAAAUCCCCCGGCUUAACCGGGGAAGUGGCCCCGAUACGACCGGCCUCGAGGGGUGUAGGGGGGUCUGGAACUUCCGGUGGAGCGGUGAAAUGCGUUGAGAUCGGAAGGAACGCCCGUGGCGAAAGCGAGGCCCUGGACCCUUUCUGACGCUGAGACGCGAAAGCCAGGGGAGCGAACGGGAUUAGAUACCCGCGUAGUCCCUGUCUCUUAUA
rnacentral:rRNA from 1 species